rnacentral:rRNA from 1 species
AUUGAACGCUGGCGGCAUGCUUUACACAUGCAAGUCGAACGGCAGCGCGGGCUUCGGCCUGGAGGCGAGUGGCGAACGGGUGAGUAAUACAUCGGAACGUGCCCAGUAGUGGGGGAUAGCUCGGCGAAAGCCGGAUUAAUACCGCAUACGACCUGAGGGUGAAAGCGGGGGAUCUUCGGACCUCGCGCUAUUGGAGCGGCCGAUGGCAGAUUAGCUAGUUGGUGGGGUAAAGGCCUACCAAGGCGACGAUCUGUAGCUGGUCUGAGAGGACGACCAGCCACACUGGGACUGAGACACGGCCCAGACUCCUACGGGAGGCAGCAGUGGGGAAUUUUGGACAAUGGGCGAAAGCCUGAUCCAGCAAUGCCGCGUGUGUGAUGAAGGCCUUCGGGUUGUAAAGCACUUUUGGCGGGAACGAAAAGGACUGUGCCAAUACCACGGUUCGAUGACGGUACCCGCAGAAUAAGCACCGGCUAACUACGUG